rnacentral:rRNA from 1 species
GACGAACGCUGGCGGCGUGCCUAAUACAUGCAAGUAGAACGCACAGUUUAUACCGUAGCUUGCUACACCAUAGACUGUGAGUUGCGAACGGGUGAGUAACGCGUAGGUAACCUGCCUGGUAGCGGGGGAUAACUAUUGGAAACGAUAGCUAAUACCGCAUAAUAUUGAUUAUUGCAUGAUAAUUGAUUGAAAGAUGCUAUUGCAUCACUACCAGGUGGACCUGCGUUGUAUUAGCUAGUAGGUGAGGUAACGGCUCACCUAGGCGACGAUACAUAGCCGACCUGAGAGGGUGAUCGGCCACACUGGGACGGAGACACGGCCCAGACUCCUACGGGAGGGAGCAGUAGGGAAUCGUCGGCAAUGGACGAAAGUCUGACCGAGCAACGCCGCGGGAGUGAAGAAGGUUUUCGGGUCGUAAAGCUCUGUUGUAAGGGAAGAACGGGUGUGAGAGUGGAAAGUUCACACUGUGACGGUAUCUUACCAGAAAGGGACGGCUAACUACGUG